rnacentral:ncRNA from 1 species
CAAAGGUUUGGUCCUGACUUUAUUAUCAGCUUUUACCCAAUUUACACAUGCAAGUCUCCGCAGCCCUGUGAGGAUGCCCUCAAUCCCCCGUCCGGGGAAGAGGAGCCGGUAUCAGGCACAGUUACUAGCCCAAGACGCCUUGCUCAGCCACACCCCCAAGGGAACUCAGCAGUGAUAGACAUUAAGCCAUGAGUGAAAACUCGACUUAGUCAGGGUAAAGAGGGCCGGUAAAACUCGUGCCAGCCACCGCGGUUAUACGAGAGGCCCUAGUUGAUGCCCCCGGCGUAAAGAGUGGUUAUGGGGAAAUUAUACUAAAGCCGAAGACCCCUCAGGCCGUCAUACGCACCCAGGGGAUCGAAAAACCAACACGAAAGUAGCUUUACUCCUUCCUACCAGAAUCCACGACAGCUGGGACACAAACUGGGAUUAGAUACCCCACUAUGCCCCGCCGUAAACUUAGAUGUUCCCUUACAAUAAACAUCCGCCUGGGGACUACGAGCGCCAGCUUAAAACCCAAAGGACUUGGCGGUGCUUCAGACCCACCUAGAGGAGCCUGUUCUAGAACCGAUAAUCCCCGUUCAACCUCACUAUUCCUUGCUUUUCCCGCCUAUAUACCACCGUCGCCAGCUUACCCUGUGAAGGUAUUACAGUAAGCAGAAUGAGCAAUGCUCAAAACGUCAGGUCGAGGUGUAGCGUACGGAAUAGGAAGAAAUGGGCUACAUUACCUAAAGUAGGUUAUUCACGGAAGGUCCUCUGAAAUGAAGACCCGAAGGUGGAUUUAGCAGUAAAGAGGGAGUAGAGCGCCCUCUUGAAGCCGGCUCUGAAGCGCGCACACACCGCCCGUCACUCUCCCCAACGACUAAUAAAAGUUCGAUAUAUAACACAUCAGCAGUUACAAGGGGAGGCAAGUCGUAACAUGGUAAGUGUACCGGAAGGUGCACUUGGAAUAAU